UGGGUGUGCUGAAGAAGACCACUGGGCCUUGUGGGACUGGCUGUAUGUGGGAGUCCACAGGAGCAAAACAACUAGAGCCAGUCUGCUAAAAUGUAAGAGGCUAAGAGUAUGGUACAGAAAGAUUAUUGAUGUUCUUGAGCAAAUCCCUAAAAAUGCAGCAUAUAGAAAGUAUACAGAACAGAUUAUAAAGGAGAAGCUGGCUAUGGGUAAAGUGGAACCAGCUGUUAAGAAAUUAGAAGAUCAACUUCAAGGUGGUCAAGUACAAGAGGUGAUUCUUCACACUGCAGAUGAACUAAGUCUGGCGAGAAAAAUGAGCCGAGGAAUCCAUGGGAGCUCUUAGUGGAAGAGCCUCCCCCUAGUCAGUGGAGAUGGCCAAUAU
rnacentral:lncRNA from 1 species